rnacentral:rRNA from 1 species
GCAAUACUUAGUGGCAGACGGGUGAGUAACAUGUGGGUAUCUACCCUUUGGCCUGGAAUAACACGAGGAAACUUGUGCUAAUACCGGAUAAGUCUUUACGGAGAAAGCUUUAUGCACCAUUGGAUGAGCCCGCACUUGAUUAGUUUGUUGGUAGGGUAAUGGCCUACCAAGACUAUGAUCAAUAGCUGAUUUGAGAGGAUGAUCAGCCACAUUGGGACUGAGACACGGCCCAAACUCCUACGGGAGGCAGCAGUGGGGAAUCUUGCACAAUGGAGGAAACUCUGAUGCAGCGAUGCCGCGUGAGUGAAGAAGGCCCUUGGGUUGUAAAGCUCUUUCGUCGGGGAAGAAAAUGACUGUACCCGAAUAAGAAGGUCCGGCUAACUUCGUGCCAGCAGCCGCGGUAAUACGAAGGGACCUAGCGUAGUUCGGAAUUACUGGGCUUAAAGAGUUCGUAGGUGGUUGAAAAAGUUGGUGGUGAAAUCCCAGAGCUUAACUCUGGAACUGCCAUCAAAACUUUUCAGCUAGAGUAUGAUAGAGGAAAGCAGAAUUUCUAGUGUAGAGGUGAAAUUCGUAGAUAUUAGAAAGAAUACCAAUUGCGAAGGCAGCUUUCUGGAUCAUUACUGACACUGAGGAACGAAAGCAUGGGUAGCGAAGAGGAUUAGAUACCCUCGUAGUCCAUGCCGUAAACGAUGUGUGUUAGACGUUGGAAAUUUAUUUUCAGUGUCGCAGGGAAACCGAUAAACACACCGCCUGGGGAGUACGACCGCAAGGUUAAAACUCAAAUGAAUUGACGGGGACCCGCACAAGUAGUGGAGCA